GCCUGGUUAACUCAAUUGGCAGAGUGUCAGACUCUUAAUCUGAAAGCUGCGGGUUCGACCCCCGCAUCGGGCU